GGCCCCGUAGCUCAGAUGGAUAGAGCAGCGGUUUCCUAAACCGCGUGUCGGCAGUUCGAAUCUGCCCGGGGCCCCCA
rnacentral:tRNA from 1 species